UUCGGUGAGCGCAGCGCCCUCUGCCCGCAGGUGGGCCGUGAGGGUGAGCAUCAACGAGCGCUCGGCUCACCUCCCCGGCUGCCACAACAAGAGCUGUUCCUGGGACGAGUUCCUGGCGCUCCUCGGACAGUACGAGAACUGCGACUUCGACGGAAUUUGCCAGAACGACCCACCGGUCCCACUGGAGGAGGACGACGAACAACUCGAUGGCAGCGCAGUCGCGUCAGGCAGCCUCGUCCUGGUGGUCCUCCUUCAGCCGCUCCUUCGGCUUCUCAACCGGGAAACCUGACCGUGCCAUUUUCAUCUUCCACGGGAGGCAGGAGGGCGAAAGAUUCUGUAGAUAGUUUGUUGAUCUUCACUCUUAGAGGCGUAGUGUUGAAGUCGUCUUCUGGGACGCUCUUUUGCUUUUCGUUUUGUUUGUGUUGUGAAAUGCGAUGACUUCUAUGGGUGAGUUCUGAAUUUCGGUACUUUUAUAGAGAGAGAUUUCUAGGGAUAACGUUUGAUGUUGCACAAGGUGAGGUCUUUGUGGUGGCGUUGAUAUAAACAUUCUACAACA
rnacentral:lncRNA from 1 species